GUCGAGAAUUUUUCACAAUGGGCGAAAGCCUGAUGGAGCGACGCCGCGUGGGGGAUGAAUGGCUUCGGUCCGUAAACCCCUGUCAUUCGGGAACAAUGCCUGCGGAAUAACACUUCGCAGGUUGAUAGUACUGGAAGAGGAAGGGACGGCUAACUCUGUGCCAGCAGCCGCGGUAAUACAGAGGUCCCAAGCGUUGUUCGGAUUCACUGGGCGUAAAGGGUGCGUAGGUGGCCGGGUAAGUCUGAUGUGAAAUCUCGAAGCUUAACUUCGAAACUGCAUCGGAUACUACUUGGCUAGAGGUCUGGAGGGGGGACUGGAAUUCUCGGUGUAGCAGUGAAAUGCGUAGAUAUCGAGAGGAACGCCAAUGGCGAAGGCUAGUCCCUGGACAGAUCCUGACACUGAGGCACGAAAGCUAGGGGAGCAAACAGGAUUAGAAACCCCGGUAGUCC
rnacentral:rRNA from 1 species